GGAACUCAAAAUCAACUAUUAACCAACAAAAAUAAAGCGCCACAAUAAACAUUUCAAGUCCGCGUUCAUCGUUGAACCCGCACUCCUCUUUCUCCUUGCUCAAUCAAAUCUCUCUUUCUGAAUUCACACUCAAAUUUCUCUUUUAAUCCUCAAAUUUCUGCCAAAAUUACUUCCUAGAUCUGCCGAAACGACAACUACUCUUCUAAAUUCGAAGUACUCAUCGUACCUCCUCAAAAUCGGCGUGGAGGGCUCAAAUAUUCCAAUUUUGAAGCACCGUAUUGUUCCUUUUUUGGAGCUUUGAAGAUUGAAUUUUCGCUUGGGUAGCAAAGAAUUGGCUGUGAAUUCAUCGGGAUUUGAAUGCUGCGGAGUGCUUAAAGUUCGAGUCUAUCUGAUGGGUGUUUCUGAUGCCUGAAUUCGCUAAUUUAGACCAUGUGGUAUUUUUUCAUGCUUGAAAUUCGAAGAAUUUUACCCAACAUUUUUAGUUGACUGCCGAGAGGUGCUAGCAGUUCGUUUUUUUUAAGCAAGUGGUCAAUUUCAAGGGUUACUGAGUAUUUUAGGGUUUGGAGAGGCUUCGCUGGAUUUUCAGGCCAUGGAUAGUAGCGGCACUGAUGAUGACCUUCCACCAUCACAUCGAAAUAGAUUCCAAAGUGGGGUACGACCUGCUGGGAAUGGAAGAUCUGCAGCAGUUGGUUCUGCUUCAUUACCUAGGGUUCAUAGUGACAUGGAAACUCAAAUACACAACAUUGAGCAGGAAGCAUACACUUCAGUCCUACGGGCAUUUAAAGCACAAUCUGAUGCCAUUACUUGGGAAAAGGAGAGUUUAAUUACAGAACUCAGGAAAGAGUUAAGGGUAUCAGAUGAGGAGCACAGGGAGCUACUAUGCAGGGUUAAUGCUGAUGACAUCAUCCGCAGAAUAAGGGAAUGGAGAAAGACAAAUGGGCUUCAAUCUAGCAUGCCAAGCACAGCCCAGCCUGCUCCUGAUCCCACACCUAGUCCUACUCUUUCAGCAUCACGCAAGAAACAGAAAACAUCACAGUCAGUUGCUUCAUUGUCCGUGGGUGCACCUUCACCUGCAUUGCCAUCUAUGCAACCAUCUUCAUCAGCCCUAAGACGGGGUCUGCCGCCAGGGUCUAGAAGCAAGAAACCCAAAUCAUCCAUGCAGUAUCCUUCUACAGGUUUGGGUGGAAGAGCACAAGCUGCAAUUCGGAGUUCUUCAGGUGCAUUUGCAACUAAUGACCCUGCAGAAGCAACCAGUUAUGAUCCAUUGAUCGGAAGGAAAGUUUGGACUCGGUGGCCUGAAGAUAACCAAUACUAUCAGGCUGUUAUAACCGACUACAAUCCAGUUGAGGUAUAUUUUAUUUGACUGUUGAUAUACAGUGUUCCAAUUGUUUUUAGGCUUCUUUUGAACAUGAUCAUUUUCUCAAUGUUAACAGGGGAGGCAUGCUUUGGUUUAUGAUAUUAAUUCAGCAGAUGAAACUUGGGAAUGGGUUAAUCUGAAAGAGGUAAAAUUUUUACCUUGUUCCUAUGGACUAAUAACUUUAAAUGCUUCAUUUUACUUUUAGUUGUUCUUUUGCUAGUCUUAUAUUAUUAUAUAAAUGCUGAAUGUUGUGAAUUCGUAAAAAUAUAAAUGGGAGAAGUUUUUAUUCUCUUUCUUUUCUGAGGGUGGUGGAACUACAUGUAUUCUGUAGUGUGCAGGUCUUUUUUAAUGCAAUUCAUCAUACUUAAUUUGGUGUCAUUUGAAGAGUUAAUGGCUAUAUCUUGCUCAUCAAUGGAGUAAGCAUGAAACAAAUUGAUUUCUAUUUAUCUGUAAUUAACCUCUACUAGUUAAAUGAAUAUCGGAAACCACAUGUUAUACAAAAGUUAGAUUGAAUAUCCAUUGAAAUGAAAGUUCCUGGUUUCUUCAUCUUGAUCUUUUGAUAUACAAACCUUUUAUUUUACCAUAUUUUGUUGGAAAGGGGAAGGGAUUAUGGCAAAAAGCAUUGUACUGGCUAUUGAUAAGUACAUAUGUUAAUUGGCAGAUAACUCCUGAAGAUAUUAGGUGGGAGGGUGAGGAUCCAGGAAUUUUUCAUAGAGGUGGCUGGCCUGGACCAGGCCGUGGGAAUAAGAAAUCUAUGGCACGUGGUGGAGCUCUUGCUGGGGCAGGAAGAGGUAGAGGGACCAUGAAGGGGCAGUCUAGAAAAGAUUUCCCAUUAUCACAAAAUGGUAUUGGAAAAAAGGCCGUAGGGGACAUUGAGAUACUUCACACAGAUACUCUAAUCAAGGAGGUGGAAAAAGUUGUUGGUGCUAGCCAUCCAGAUCCAAUGGAAAUUGAGAAAGCAAAGAAAGUACUGAAAGUAAGAACCAAGUAUCUUUUAUUGGUCCGUAGUGUUACAUUGCGCGAAUUUUAUGUUUUCUUUGUUGCAGGAACAUGAACAAGCGCUGGUUGACGCGAUUGCAAGGCUUGAAGAUGCAUCUGAUGGUGAAAGCGGUAAUAACUAACUGCACAUAACCAUGUUUAUAUUAUAGAGUGUCCUAUAAAGACACACUGCCCUUCUAUUGUAUCAUCUAAUUGUAGUUUUUGGAUCUUCGGAUAUAACCUGUAAUAGUUGUGUACAAUUUUAUCACUUUAUUAGUAUUGCUUCAAUUCAGUGCAAGAGAAUGGGCUUAAAUGUUUAUUCUGUAGUUCCCCAAACAUUUAGCUGCUUUUGUUUUUAUUGUCUCUUGAAUUCCAAAUCAUAAUUUUUCCCACUUUAAGCAUCAGUGAGAUGAGAUGGAAGAGAUAAAUAAUCCAAAUCUUACUACCAUGUUGGGCUUAUUAUGCUGUAGAUAUCCCGUUCCCCAUUAUGGUGGAUUUAUCUCACUAGGAAGGAGCACUGGGUCGAUUAUAUUGAUUGUGAAAACAAUCCAAUCUGUCUUCUUCUUUUCUUUUUUUUGGUAAAAAACAGAUGGGGAGCAUCCAUCUUCCCAUGGACAAUCAAUGGACCAAGAUCGAGGAUGGAGAAAAAGGCCAUACGAUGAUAUGGGUGGUGAAGGUAGAGCAUCAGAUGGCAACAAAAUGGCAAGAGGUGGUAGGGUUGGAUCUGGUGAACAUCAAGUGGAUGGCGAUGAAAUAUAAUCGUUAGCCAUAUUGAUGAUAAUGACUCUUUGUUGUAUCAUUAGGACUAAUUUAAUGACAACUCAAGUGCAUGUAGCCCCUGGCUUAUAGUCUACUGGUCAGACAGGGCGUAGUUUGGUUCCGUUGUAAUUUUGAUUUAAUUGAAUGUUGGUAAAUGCUCAUGUAAAUUAUGUUGAAGUGAAUAACUUUUCUCUGUAAAUAUCUCUUAAAAAUUCUCUCCUCCAUUGAGCUAUAAUAUUUGGUUAAAAAACCAAAUUCACUGGGAAUGGUUGCUGUAUUUUCACUGUGAUGUCACUCAGCAUAUAUAAACCAUCAAUUACAUCCUGCAAGUUAAACAAAGAUUAAAAAUCAGCAAAUGCUAACAAUACACAGUGAUCACAGAAGGCAAUCUAAACCAUCACAAGUAGAAGAUACCUACGAGUCCUAUAGAUGCAAUAAACGUCAACUCAGACUACCUAAUAGUCCUAUAAAGAUGCAAUAAAUGUGAGGAUAAGGUUCACCAUCUGAGUAUCAUAAACAGGGCCUUCCAUUUGGAAGUGGCCAGCUCCUUCAAUUAGAUGUGUUUCAAUGCGCCCUGAAGCAGAUCUUAGCUUGUUCUGCAGCUGCUUAACACUGGUAAACCCAUCCCGGGUUCCCAUAACAAAGAGUUUUGGCUUUGGAGACUGUAAGAUGGCCUUGUGAUGUCGCCCAAAAAGGAUUGAGGCCAUCAUGCCAAAAGGGUAUCCCAAACUUACAUAUCCAACCACUUCCUUAAUCUCAUCUACUGCAGAUCCUGCAAUUGGAGCACCUGCAGAAGAACCCACCAACAAAAUCCUGUCAGUUGAUAGAUUUUCACAAACCCAUUUGCAGACAGCAAUUACAUCUUUGAUUUCAGAAAAACCAGUGAGAGAAGGCCUCCCUGUGGACCUCCCAGCACCUCUCAUGUCAAAAGUCACAGCCCUGUAACCUUUCUCUGCCAACCCAAUUGCUAUUCCUUUCAAAAGAGCUUGACAACCACCCAAGACUGAAUAUGGAUGGACAAGAACAAUCACCAAUUUGUCUUUGACCUCAUCGUCGUUGGACUUGAAGAGCCUUGUCCGGAGCUUCACUCCAUCACUGGUCUCAAGUGUGGUGGACUCAACUGCAUAGCUUGACAUGCUUACAAGAGAUGAAAAUAAAAGCUCAGAAAUGGCAAAUUGAUGAUUGAGAGAGUUGGACAAUACCGAAGAGAAGUUUUAGAGACUUGGGUCAUAAAUUUCUAAGUUAAAUUAAGCAUAUUUUUUGGUGAACUGGUG
rnacentral:misc_RNA from 1 species